rnacentral:rRNA from 1 species
UACAGAGGUCCCCAAGCGUUGUUCGGAUUUACUGGGCGUAAAGGGUGCGUAGGUGGUGAGGUAAGUCUGAUGUGAAAUCUCCGAGCUUAACUCGGAAAUGGCAUUGGAAACUACCUUGCUUGAGGAUUGGAGGGGAGACUGGAAUUCUCGGUGUAGCAGUGAAAUGCGUAGAUAUCGAGAGGAACACCAGUGGCGAAGGCGAGUCUCUGGACAACUCCUGACACUGAGGCACGAAAGCUAGGGGAGCAAACAGGAUUAGAACCU